rnacentral:tRNA from 1 species
GCUGAUAUAGCUCAACGGUAGAGCAACGGUUUCGUAAAUCGUAGGCUGGCGGUUCAAAUCCGCCUAUCAGCU